rnacentral:rRNA from 1 species
AGUGGGGGAUAACGUAGCGAAAGUUACGCUAAUACCGCAUAUGCCCUGAGGGGGAAAGGAGGGGAUCGCAAGACCUUUCGCUUUCGGAGUGGCCGAUAUCAGAUUAGCUAGUUGGUGGGGUAAAGGCCCACCAAGGCGACGAUCUGUAGCGGGUCUGAGAGGAUGAUCCGCCACACUGGGACUGAGACACGGCCCAGACUCCUACGGGAGGCAGCAGUGGGGAAUUUUGGACAAUGGGGGCAACCCUGAUCCAGCCAUGCCGCGUGAGUGAAGAAGGCCUUCGGGUUGUAAAGCUCUUUCAGCCGGAAAGAAAUCGCACCGAUUAAUACUCGGUGUGGAUGACGGUACCGGAAGAAGAAGCACCGGCUAACUACGUGCCAGCAGCCGCGGUAAUACGUAGGGUGCGAGCGUUAAUCGGAAUUACUGGGCGUAAAGCGUGCGCAGGCGGUUUUGUAAGACAGGUGUGAAAUCCCCGGGCUUAACCUGGGAACUGCAUUUGUGACUGCAAGGCUAGAGUGUGGCAGAGGGGGGUAGAAUUCCG